rnacentral:rRNA from 1 species
CCUACGGGAGGCAGCAGUGGGGGAUAUUGCACAAUGGGGGAAACCCUGAUGCAGCGCCGCCGCGUGAGUGAAGAAGUAUUUCGGUAUGUAAAGCUCUAUCAGCAGGGAAGAAAAUGACAGUACCUGACCAAGAAGCCCCGGCUAACUACGUGCCAGCAGCCGCGGUAAUACGUAGGGGGCAAGCGUUGUUCGGAAUGCCUGGGCGUAAAGGGUGGGUAGGUGGGUUGAUAAGUUAGAUAUGUAAUAGCGAGGGCUUAACUCGGGUGCUGCAUCGAAAACUGUUAGACUGGAGUGCAGGAGAGGUGAGUGGAAUUCCUAGUGUAGCGGUGGAAUGCGUAGAUAUUAGGAGGAACAUCAGUGGCGAAGGCGACUAACUGGACAGCAACUGACACUGAGGCACGAAAGCGUGGGGAGCAAACAGGAUUAGAUACCCGAGUAGUC